rnacentral:rRNA from 1 species
ACAUGCAAGUCGAACGGUAACAGGCCUUCGGGCGCUGACGAGUGGCGGACGGGUGAGUAAUACAUGGGAAUCUGCCCUUAGUGGGGGAUAACGUUGGGAAACUAACGCUAAUACCGCAUAACCUCUUCGGAGCAAAGCGUGGGAUCUUCGGACCACGUGCCAAAGGAUGAGCCCAUGUCUGAUUAGCUAGUUGGUGAGGUAAUGGCUCACCAAGGCGACGAUCAGUAGCCGGCCUGAGAGGGUGGACGGCCACACUGGGACUGAGACACGGCCCAGACUCCUACGGGAGGCAGCAGUGGGGAAUAUUGGACAAUGGGGGCAACCCUGAUCCAGCAAUGCCGCGUGUGUGAAGAAGGCCUGCGGGUUGUAAAGCACUUUUGUUGAGGAAGAAUGUGUUUGGGCUAAUAGUCCAAAUGCUUGACGUUACUCAAAGAAAAAGCACCGGCUAACUCCGUG